CCCUUAGAUGCUCUGGGCCGCACGCGCGCUACACUGACGAAUGCAACGAGCUUAUAACCUUGGCCGAAAGGUCUGGGUAAUCUCCAAAUUUCGUCGUGAUGGGGAUAGAUUAUUGCAAUUAUUAAUCUUCAACGAGGAAUGCCUAGUAAGCGCAAGUCAUCAGCUUGCGUUGAUUACGUCCCUGCCCUUUGUACACACCGCCCGUCGCUCCUACCGAUUGAAUGGUCCGGUGAAGCGUUCGGACCGUGGCCUUUGGACGGUUCGCCGUCUGUUGGCUGCGGGAAGUUCGUUAAACCUUAUCAUUUAGAGGAAGGAGAANUCGUAACA
rnacentral:rRNA from 1 species